rnacentral:rRNA from 1 species
UACGUAGGGUGCGAGCGUUAAUCGGAAUUACUGGGCGUAAAGCGUGCGCAGGCGGUGAGCUGUGUCCGAUGUGAAAGCCCCGGGCUUAACCUGGGAAUGGCAUUGGAAACUGGCUCGCUGGAGUGUGGCAGAGGGGGGUGGAAUUCCGCGGUGUAGCAGUGAAAUGCGUAGAGAUGUGGAGGAACACCAGUGGCGAAGGCGACUCUCUGGUCUGUAACUGACGCUGAGGCGCGAAAGCGUGGGGAGCAAACAGG